rnacentral:rRNA from 1 species
UACGUAGGGUGCGAGCGGUAAUCGGAAUUACUGGGCGUAAAGGGUGCGCAGGCGGCCGCGCAAGUCGAGUGUGAAAGCCCCGGGCUUAACUUGGGAAUUGCGCUCGAAACUACGUGGCUGGAGUGUGGCAGAGGAAGGUGGAAUUCCAGGUGUAGCGGUGAAAUGCGUAGAGAUCUGGAGGAACACCGAUGGCGAAGGCAGCCUUCUGGGCCAACACUGACGCUCAUGCACGAAAGCGUGGGGAGCAAACAGG